CGUGUAGGCGGCCAGGUAGGUGGGUUGUGAAAACUGGAGGCUCAACCUUCAGACGUCGACCCAAACCCCCUGGCUAGAGUCCGGAGGAGGAGAGUGGAAUUCCUGGUGUAGCGGUGAAAUGCGCAGAUAUCAGGAAGAACACCCGUGGCGAAGGCGGCUCUCUGGGACGGUACUGACGCUGAGACGCGAAAGCGUGGGGAGCGAACA
rnacentral:rRNA from 1 species